GGAUGAACGCUAGCGGGAGGCUUAACACAUGCAAGUCGAGGGGCAGCAUAGGGUAGCAAUACUCUGAUGGCGACCGGCAAACGGGUGAGUAACGCGUAUGUAACCUACCCUGUACAGGGGGAUAACCCGGAGAAAUUCGGACUAAUAUCCCAUAACAAUAUCCGGGGGCAUCUUUGGAUAUUUAAAGUUCCGGCGGUACGGGAUGGGCAUGCGUAACAUUAGCUAGUUGGUAAGGUAACGGCUUACCAAGGCUUUGAUGUUUAGGGGUCCUGAGAGGGUGGUCCCCCACACUGGUACUGAGACACGGACCAGACUCCUACGGGAGGCAGCAGUGAGGAAUAUUGGACAAUGGAUGGAAAUCUGAUCCAGCCAUGCCGCGUGCAGGAAGACAGCCCUAUGGGUUGUAAACUGCUUUUAUAUGGGAGCAAUAAGGUCUACGUGUAGACUGAUGAGAGUACCAUAUGAAUAAGCAUCGGCUAACUCCGUGCCAGCAGCCGCGGUAAUACGGAGGAUGCGAGCGUUAUCCGGAUUUAUUGGGUUUAAAGGGUGCGUAGGCGGCCGAGUAAGUCAGCGGUGAAAUUUUGCAGCUUAACUGNNNNNGUGCCGUUGAUACUGCAUGGCUAGGAUUUGGUUGCUGUGGGUGGAAUGUGUGGUGUAGCGGUGAAAUUGCUUAGAUAUCACACAGAAUAUCNNNNGCGAAGGCNGCUCACAAAGCCAAGAUUGACGCUGAGGCACGAAAGUGUGGGGAUCAAACAGGAUUAGAUACCCUGGUAGUCCACACUGUAAACGAUGAUAACUCACUGCCGGCGAUACACAGUCGGUGGCCAAGCGAAAGCGAUAAGUUAUCCACCUGGGGAGUACGACCGCAAGGUUGAAACUCAAAGGAAUUGACGGGGGCCCGCACAAGCGGAGGAACAUGUGGUUUAAUUCGAUGAUACGCGAGGAACCUUACCCGGGCUCGAACGGUGCAUGAAUAAGCAAGAGAUUGUUUAGUCCUUCGGGACAUGUAUCGAGGUGCUGCAUGGUUGUCGUCAGCUCGUGCCGUGAGGUGUCGGCUUAAGUGCCAUAACGAGCGCAACCCUUGUUGUUAGUUACCAACAGGUAAAGCUGGGGACUCUAACGAGACUGCCACCGUAAGGUGUGAGGAAGGGGGGGAUGACGUCAAAUCAGCACGGCCCUUAUGUCCGGGGCGACACACGUGUUACAAUGGGGGGUACAGAGGGCAGCCAUCCGGUGACGGAGCGCCAAUCUCCAAAACCCUUCUCAGUUCGGAUUGGAGUCUGCAACCCGACUCCAUGAAGUUGGAUUCGCUAGUAAUCGCGCAUCAGCCAUGGCGCGGUGAAUACGUUCCCGGGCCU
rnacentral:rRNA from 1 species